rnacentral:siRNA from 1 species
AAACUACGCCUCCAAUUGAACCGA